rnacentral:lncRNA from 1 species
UCAGUAAGAAAAGAGAAGAGAACAUUAAUGUUCAUUUGAAGUCCAUUUUGUUGUUUAUGAGGAACGCAAAGAGAAAGACUAGUAAGAAUGGAUGGUCAAUUUGUAUAGUCUUUGCCCUAGUGUAGUUCGGUUGGGUACUUGUGUCGUUGAUUCUGCUGUGUACCGGAUGGUUGCGUGGCUAUGUGAAAAUAAUGAGUGGACAUGUAUGUUUUGAAGCUCACUUUAUUCUGUCACGCAGUUCGCUAUAAAACUCCUUUGAGGUUCACUUGGUACUCCGAAACAAAACACCAUCAAAAGAAGCUCGCUACUCAUUACAUGCAGUGUGUUUGGUCCUCAGAUGUGGUUCAAUUUUGAGAGUGAUGUUGUUCACUUGCACAAAGCGUGGAAGUGUGAAAAAAAUUAGCGAAACAAAAAAUAGUAAUGCGGUUCGCUUCCAUGUAUGUUGAGGUUCAUUUGCACUCGUCUCUGCGGUCCACUCUGGUUCAUAAAAAAUGUUUUAAAAAAAGGAAAACAAAAACUCGUUUGAGAUAAAUUACGUACAACAAAAAAAAAUUCAUGAAGUUCGCUUGACUGUCUGAUGGAGUGCGGUUUUCCCUCCGAAGCAGUCCGUUCUUCUGUCGUUCACAAAAGCUUAUCUGAGUAAAUUUACGCCCGACAAGAAAAUCAUGAAGUUCGCUUGACUCUCUAAUGCAGUGCGGUUUUCCGUCCGAAGCAGUGCGUUCUUCUGUAUUUCAUAAAAAAUGACAACAAAAACUCACAAAAAGCUCAUCUGAGAAAAUUUACGCCCGACAAGACAAAUCAUGAAGUUCGCUCGGCUGUCAGAUGCAGUGCGGCUUUCCGUCCAAAGUAGUGCGUUCUUUUGUCGUUCAUAAAAAAAUGACAACAAAAACUCACAAAAAAGCUCAUCUAAGAAAAUUUACGCCCGAUAAGACAAAUCAUGAAGUUCGCUUGACUGUCUGAUGCAGUGCAGUUUCUAUCCGAAGCAGUGCGUUCUUCUGUCUGAUGCAGUACACACGUCGGUUUUGGUGUCGCGAAAAACAGAGUAUCCGCAUUUUAGUAAUUUUAAAACUGCUCUUAAACCGUAAGGAAUUAGAGAGCAUGUUCUACAUGAAAAAGAUGCGCCUCAUCGAUAUCUUUCCGAUGAUGUAUCAUUUGCAUCAUUUCACCGAGCGGUUUGAAAAAAUGUACGAAAAAACGGCCGUUGUCACUCGUCAUUCGCCGCACGAUUUUCAAAAUUCACUUAAAACUGUAAGGAAUCUCAAAAACAUUUCAACAUAUGAAAGUUGCGCCUCGUCCGUAGCUUUCCAACGGCGUAUAACACGCCUCGUUUCGACAAAUGGUUCAAAAACUAGAGCAAAAACAGUUCCAAAAAAUUGAUUUUUUUUGAAAAACAGAGUUCCGCGAUUUAGUAAAUUUGAAACUGCUCUUAAACCGUAACGAAUUAGAGAAAAUAAUAGAUAUGAAAAAGAUGCGCCUAGAUGAUAUCUUUUCAACGGUGUAUCAUUUGUUUCAUUCCGACGAGCGGUCUAGAAAAAAAGUGAAAAACGCUCGCUGCCACACGUCGUAUGCCGCACCAUUUUCAAAACGGCUCUUAAACCGUGAGGCUCGAAAAGUGCUCAACAUGGAAAAGUAGCGCCUAAUUCGUAGCUUUUCAACGGUAUAUUACACGCCUAGUUCCGAUAAACGGUUAAAAAACUAGAGCAAAAAAGGUACCAAAAAACAGAGCGUGUAGUUUUUUUGCGGCGAGAAGUUCACUCGCGUGAGUACUGCAGCACACUUGGUUCAAACAAUGAUGUGCACUUGCGUUGAGCGUGCAGUGCGGAAGUGUUAUCAGAAUAGUUAUUCUGCUAAUAUUAGCAGAAUAUAUAUAUAUAAGGUGUGUCUAUUCUAAUAACAUCCCUUAAGACCUUAUUCUAAUAACACUUCCUCUUAUUCUGAUAACACCAGUACGCCCACCCAAACAGAACAAAAACAAACAGCCCACCCCACCCACCUCCACCCAUGCGCACCCCACUCCCCACCUUCUCCUCGAUCCCCCACCCCACCUUCUUCUCGCACCGGCGCCUCCGAGCAAGCCACCGCCCCGGCCAUGACCCCCCCCGGGCGCGGCACCCCCCCACCUUCUCCCCACACCGCCGCCUCCCAGCCAGCCACCGUCCCGGCCACAACCUCCCAUGGCGCCGCCCCCACGCAACGCGCAGGUAGCCGACCGCCGUCGCGCCACCCUUCAGCAGGUCGCCGUCCUACCGCCUCUCCCCAUGCCGGCAGCACGCACCUGCCCACGAGCACCAUCGGUGUCAAAGCAUCGCUAUCCCCUGCCGCCCCGGUGGCCUCCUUCUAGGCCGCGACAACCGGAUCUAGCCUUCCCUGCCCCUGCAUCCUCUCGUUGCAUCGCAGUGGCCGGAUCGAAGUAGCCCCCGUAGAUCCAACGUGGAUCCACCGUCGCCGUCAGCGGCUGCUUUGGAUCUGGGGAGUCCUGCCGCCUCCGAUGCAGGUUGCCGCCGGAUGCCCCUGCCUCCUACUUCGGCGACUCGCUGCUUCAGGGAGCCCCGAUGCGCCAACCACCCCGAUGCACCAGCCUCCCCUGCUUUCUCCCCACAGACGAACAGGCAACCACGCCAUUGUUUGAGAUUGUUGCAGUUCAUUUUUUAUUUUUGGAGGAAAAUCAGUGCACUGCAGUUUGUUUUUCCCGUCGAUGAGAUUUGUGUAUUUUGUGUUCUUCUGAAGACAAAUAAAAUUGCAAAUGCAGUCCACUGUACUUUUGCUCUUGAGGUUCAUUUUACUCUCUCUUUUUUGCAGAAAAGAUAGGUGAUGCAGUCCGCCGGCCUCCUCCCACGGCGAAUUUGGGCGAUGCACGGGCUCCUACCCCUUUGGGUGUUUUGCAGGUGAAUAUUGUAAAGCCGGCCGGAAGUGCACUGCUGCUGGGUGCCCGUGGAUCGGGGGGGCUACCGUGCAGUACGCAUCAACAAUAGGCGUAGCAACCGUUCCACUCUCCUCUUGGGGUAAUUUUGGUUGUUGUUGAUGUAGUGCAACGGGCCUGUUCAUGAAGUACACUGGCUCCGCGGCGAGCAGUGGAGAGGACACGGGUGUGCAGUUCCCCGUCCCCGUAGUUGUCCCCUGAACCUGUAGAAGCCCAUCUUGUAUGUGAGCAUAUGGCUAGAAACAUUGCGGUGUGGUUUCGGUGGUCGUCCACGUGCACUUUGUUUGGGGGGCAGUACGUAUGUUCUUUGUGGAUGUGCACUUCAUUCGGGCCGAGCUUCGUGAAGCUCAGUUUGCACUCCAUCGGAUCUGGGCUCCUGAUGCGGUGGUGCGCACUGAGAUGGUCGGGGAUGCUCGAGGCUGGAUCCAGGCGUCCCGGUGCCUCGCCGGAGGAGGCAAGAAAGAGAUCCCGUCGCUGGCCGCCUAGCUUGCCGGAGGAUGAGGUCAGGAAACGGUGGCUGAGGUGGAGCAGCUCCUUCCCACCUAAUGAACAGUUCCAGCAGCAUUCCAGGCCGCAUCCACCACGGCGGCUAACCCCCCAUGCGCAUUGUUUUUGUGUUUUCUAUAGAUAAAUCUAAGUGCAAAUUGCAGCCCGCUGUUGUUAGUUAUUGAGGUUCACUUUACUCAUUUUUGCAGGAAGAAAUGUGGUGCACUUCGGUUGGACGCCGCAUUGCUUCCUCCCCCUUCUCCCCCUGCUUCCUCUGCUCGCCGGCCGGUCGAUCUCCACUUGUAGUGCACACGGGCGCCCCUUUGUAGUGCACACGAGCGAUUGUACGACACAUCUCCAAAAAUGAUGCUACAACCCGCAAGCCCUGCAUCCCCGCCUCCCUACAGUUUACCUUUUUUAGAAAGAGAAAAAACGAAGUGCGAGAUGAAGUCAACUGUGGUUUGAAUGCAAUCGGUGUGGAUGCCCUUUACCCAAAAUUGGUGGAUGAAGUUCACUGUUUUUGUGUUUUUCAGUAGAGAAAUCAAAGUAGAAAAUGCAAUCCACUAUUCUUCUUGCUCUUGGGGAUCAUUUGACGUUUUUUUGCAGGAAAAAUGGGUGGUGCAGUUCGGUUCGAUGCCCCGUUGCUCAAAGUUUUUUUUGUUGAUAGCUGCAGCUCAUUGUAAAAGAACACUGAAUGCCAUUUGGUGCAGUCUGUAAAAGAACUCUAAAUGUCAUUUGGUGCAAUUCAUUGUUAUAAAAAUGCGUGUGGUUAAACUCAGAAAGAAAGAUGUGGUUCAAUGCUCUCAACUCUUGGGGGAUCCAGCCCACAUGAAGUGCACUACUGUUGUAUCGCAGUCCAAUUCCCCCUUAAUAUACAUUGGACAUGGGAAAUAAAAAUUUGUUUCGAGAGGUUCACUUUUGUCCAACAAGUUCAGUUUUAUUGUGUGGAGAGGUUCUCUCCACUGUACUAUACAUGUCUUUUUCUUUUUUUGGAGAGGUCACUUCAUUGUACUAUGCAUUUCUUUUUGUUUAGAAAAAUAACAAAAAGAAUCGUUUGCAGUCCUCUCUCAUGACAUUGCAGUGCGCUUUCCCGUGUGAUGAAGCACACUAACAUUGAUAAUAUGGUACACUUGCGCCUAUGAAAAAAAUUAAAAAAUUAUAAGGUUCACUUCGCAAAACAUGUAGCUCCUCUAGUGUGCACUUGGGGUUCGCCGGCUAAUGAUGCAUGUCGUGCGUUUUGCCGGUGACCAUACUGCAGUCCCUCAUCGCUGACGUGAGUUGUUUUGCAGCUCACUCUUUUUUUCUUCUAGAAAUCAUUUGCAGUGCACUCAGUAAGAAAAGAGAAGAGAACAUUAAUGUUCAUUUGAAGUCCAUUUUGUUGUUUAUGAGGAACGCAAAGAGAAAGACUAGUAAGAAUGGAUGGUCAAUUUGUAUAGUUUUUGCCCUAGUGUAGUUCGGUUGGGUACUUGUGUUGUUGAUUCUGCUGUGUACCGGAUGGUUGCGUGGCUAUGUGAAAAUAAUGAGUGGACAUGUAUGUUUUGAAGCUCACUUUAUUCUGUCACGCAGUUCGCUAUAAAACUCCUUUGAGGUUCACUUGGUACUCCGAAACAAAA